GAUGAACGCUGGCGGCGUGCCUAAUACAUGCAAGUCGAGCGAACGGACGAGAAGCUUGCUUCUCUGAUGUUAGCGGCGGACGGGUGAGUAACACGUGGAUAACCUACCUAUAAGACUGGGAUAACUUCGGGAAACCGUAUCUAAUACCGGAUAAUAUUUUGAACCGCAUGGUUCAAAAGUGAAAGACGGUCUUGCUGUCACUUAUAGAUGGAUCCGCGCUGGAUUAGCUAGUUGGUAAGGUAACGGCUUACCAAGGCAACGAUGCAUAGCCGACCUGAGAGGGUGAUCAGCCACACUGGAACUGAGACACGGUCCAGACUCCUACGGGAGGCAGCAGUAGGGAAUCUUGCGCAAUGGGCGAAAGCCUGACGGAGCAACGCCGCGUGAGUGAUGAAGGUCUUCGGAUCGUAAAACGCUGUUAUUAGGGAAGAACAUAUGUGUAAGUAACUGUGCACAGCUUGACGGUACCUAAUCAGAAAGCCACGGCUAACUACGUG
rnacentral:rRNA from 1 species